UACGUAUGGAGCAAGCGUUAUCCGGAUUUACUGGGUGUAAAGGGUGCGUAGGUGGCAGUGCAAGUCAGAUGUGAAAGGCCGGGGCUCAACCCCGGAGCUGCAUUUGAAACUGCAUAGCUAGAGUACAGGAGAGGCAGGCGGAAUUCCUAGUGUAGCGGUGAAAUGCGUAGAUAUUAGGAGGAAUACCAGUGGCGAAGGCGGCCUGCUGGACUGUUACUGACACUGAGGCACGAAAGCGUGGGGAGCAAACAGG
rnacentral:rRNA from 1 species